ACUCCUACGGGAGGCAGCAGUGGGGAAUAUUGCACAAUGGGCGCAAGCCUGAUGCAGCCAUGCCGCGUGUAUGAAGAAGGCCUUCGGGUUGUAAAGUACUUUCAGCAGUGAGGAAGGUGGGUAUGUUAAUAGCAUAUUCUAUUUGUACGUUAGCUGCAGAAGAAGCACCGGCUAACUCCGUGCCAGCAGCCGCGGUAAUACGGAGGGUGCGAGCGUUAAUCGGAAUUACUGGGCGUAAAGCGCAUGCAGGUGGUUGUUAAGUCAGAUGUGAAAGCCCGGGGCUCAACCUCGGAAUUGCAUUUGAAACUGGCAAACUAGAGUACUGUAGAGGGGGUAGAAUUUCAGGUGUAGCGGUGAAAUGCGUAGAGAUCUGAAGGAAUACCGGUGGCGAAGCGGCCCCUGGACAGAUACUGACACUCAGAUGCGAAAGCGUGGGAGCAAACAGGAUUA
rnacentral:rRNA from 1 species